rnacentral:rRNA from 1 species
UUUCGAAUCAUUCACAAUGGGCGAAAGCCUGAUGGUGCGACGCCGCGUGAGGGAUGAAGGCCUUCGGGUUGUAAACCUCUGUCACCGGGGAAGAAACGCUUCAAGUUAACAGCUUGAAGCCUGACUUAACCCGGAGAGGAAGCAGUGGCUAACUCUGUGCCAGCAGCCGCGGUAAUACAGAGACUGCAAGCGUUAUUCGGAUUCACUGGGCGUAAAGGGUGCGCAGGCGGUUGGGUGUGUCAGAUGUGAAAUCCCGAGGCUUAACCUCGGAACUGCGUCUGAAACUACUCGACUAGAGUACUGGAGAGGGUAACGGAAUUCACGGUGUAGCAGUGAAAUGCGUAGAUAUCGUGAGGAACACCAGAGGCGAAGGCGGUUACCUGGACAGUUACUGACGCUCAGGCACGAAAGCAUGGGGANCAAAAGGGAUUAGAUACCCACGUAGUCCCUGAGCGGGCUGGCAAGGCGCAU